CUCCUGCACAGGAUGUGUACGGAACUGGGCCCCGAGCUGAAGCCUGGGCAAGCUGCAGGGGAUCGGCUGAGACCCCCUGAGAAGCACUUCCUGCAAACAGUGGGAAAAUUCACUCGGGGCCAGGAUAAAGGGAAGCGAGGGAGAUCAGCAAGGCAUUGGGCCAGACGAUGAUGGCAUCUUCUGGGACAGAGGAUGUGACGCUGAAGAAUGCUGAGUUAGGGUGAAAGGGCCUGGAGGGGUCACGGCUUCCCGCUUCCCGCUGCAGCCCCGAAGGCUGGGAAGGUACUUCUGAAAAGCUGAGAUUCUCACCGAGUCACCGGGCUCCAGCCGCGGAGGCUGUGGGAAAAGCACCGCAUAUUGCGAAACUCGUGGUACAAUCUCAUUAUCGCGGGGCCUGACCUUCCCGUCCCACUCCGUAACACCGCGGACUUACUCCUGCUCUACACCAGUGUAAGAAUCUGGCCCACGGUGCCAUUUAGGGCUCUAAUGGGCUAGCCAGCGUGCCAAUGAACCAUGUCGAUGCACUGUAGUGUUGUAUGAUUUGCACUGUACCGCCGUGGCCGGGAAGUGCCGUGGCUGGCGGGUUUGGACCUGUCCUGACAUGACCUGGAACUGGAAUUUUUCUGGUUCUCAUCCCCAGCGGGUCGGCACCGGGCUCAGAUGCAUUCAGCAAAAGUGCUUGUUCGUAGUGAAACCGCUUCCUGCGGCAGCACAGGGCAUGCCAGGCAACAGACUGAAUACCGGGACCGGGGCCCUGCAUUCGCUCUGAAGCGCGGGCUGGGCUUUCACACUGUCAACAGAUCCAUCUCGCUUGGGACAGUGUAAAACGCUGCCGGUCCGUUUACAAGCUGUCUGCCGCACAGGCAGGACUGGGAGAGGCGGGAGGCUGCUACCCUCUGCUGGUUCUUGGUCUGCAGUGCAGCAUCGUUCGUCCUUACGCUGUGGCGGGGACGAAGAGAGGCUGCUGAACCAAAUCUGCCCUCAGCCAAAUCUGGCGUGUUACAGGGUAAAAUACCUGUGUGGGACAGGAGUCUGUAGAUGCCGUCCAGCCAUCCUAUUUUAGGUCUUUCAGGGGGGUCUUUUCCAUCCUGCUUUGUUUGGAUCCAAGUGGAAGGGGGUCUCCCAGGGCAGCUGGUUGGCCUUCGGAGCAGAUGAUCCUACCAACAUAAUGACAGGUUUCAGAGUAGCAGCCGUGUUAGUCUGUAUCCGCAAAAAGAAAAGGAGGACUUGUGGCACCUUAGAGACUAAAAAUUUAUUUGAGCAUAAACUUUCGUGAGCUACAGCAUCCGAUGAAGUGAGCUGUAGCUCACGAAAGCUUAUGCUGUAAUAAAUUUGUUAGUCUCUAAGGUGCCACAAGUCCUCCUUUUCUUCCUACCAACAUAGAGAGCGCUGGAUGAGAGAGAGACUGGGACCUGUCUUGGUAGAAGACGCAUCUCGUCAUUCAAUGUGAAUUCAAACUGUUUGGUGUUUCCGAUCGUUCGGAGACGCUUCAUCUGAACGACCUCCAACUUCUUUCCAAUCUUGACAGCGAGGGACCGUGUUUCAGUCGCGCAGAUCAGGAUCCCGACCGCCAAAGCCUGGCACAGCCUCCGCUUCCUCUCUCUCCUCAGUGGGGCAUGUGGUGUGCGAAAGACGUUUUUGAGGACGUUCCCCAUUCGCAGCACCGGCGUCGCGUUCCUUCUCGCUGCCACCCAACUUCUCCACAACAGAGCCGACGUCGGGGACAUGACUGACAAUUUCGACUUAGCGGUUUCGCCCGCUAAGAUGCUGGCAGCGUGUUCCAGGUCGUCCACCAGAAGAAUUUGGGUUUUACCCCAUUUCACUUUCAGGCCGGCUUUUGCCACUUAACUUUCCAGGGCUUUCAGCGCCGCAGCCCAAUCGUACAGGAGGCACACCCCUACUGCCAAGAGUCCUGGGUAUAAUGAACUCCCCUUAGGACAGACGGGGUCCUGGUCCGUAACUGGCACUCCCAGCUGCCCCGAUAAUACAGAUAAUUAAAAUGACAACACAGAGAGGAGCAGUUCCGAUUCCAUCCACUAGAGGACAGUGGCACCCAUACACACUGGCCAGUUAGUUAAUUAGCCUCUUACAGUUUGCAUGGCAACUUCCACCUUCUCUGUAUGUGUGUAUAUAUAUAGAUCUUCUUACUAUAUGUUCCAUUCUAUGCGUCCGAUGAAGUGGGCUG